ACGAAUCGUGCUUUGGUGGUGAUUAUGUCAUUCGCCAAACAUAUGUGCUCUCCAGGCAACUGGAGGUGCAAAUAUCAUAUAUAUGAUGUAGUGUAUUAUUAUCUAGUGAAUGUAUGGUUGUCUCACCAAGUGGUACAAUCUGUAUAAUCAAAUG
rnacentral:misc_RNA from 1 species